rnacentral:rRNA from 1 species
AUCAGCCCGCGCCCCGUAAAAAGGGACGGCCCGCCCGAGGACCCCUAAACUCUGUUUUUAGUGGAACUUCUGAGUAAAACAAACAAAUAAAUCAAAACUUUCAACAACGGAUCUCUUGGUUCUGGCAUCGAUGAAGAACGCAGCAAAAUGCGAUAAGUAAUGUGAAUUGCAGAAUUCAGUGAAUCAUCGAAUCUUUGAACGCACAUUGCGCCCGCCAGUAUUCUGGCGGGCAUGCCUGUUCGAGCGUCAUUUCAACCCUCAAGCUCAGCUUGGUGUUGGGACUCGCGGUAACCCGCGUUCCCCAAAUCGAUUGGCGGUCACGUCGAGCUUCCAUAGCGUAGUAAUCAUACACCUCGUUACUGGUAAUCGUCGCGGCCACGCCGUAAAACCCCAACUUCUGAAUGUUGACCUCGGAUCAGGUAGGAAUACCCGCUGAACUUAAGCAUAUCAAUAAGCGGAGGAAAAGAAACCAACAGGGAUUGCCCUAGUAACGGCGAGUGAAGCGGCAACAGCUCAAAUUUGAAAUCUGGCUCUCGGGCCCGAGUUGUAAUUUGUAGAGGAUGCUUUUGAUGCGGUGCCUUCCGAGUUCCCUGGAACGGGACGCCAUAGAGGGUGAGAGCCCCGUCUGGUUGGAUGCCAAAUCUCUGUAAAGCUCCUUCGACGAGUCGAGUAGUUUGGGAAUGCUGCUCUAAAUGGGAGGUAUAUGUCUUCUAAAGCUAAAUACCGGCCAGAGACCGAUAGCGCACAAGUAGAGUGAUCGAAAGAUGAAAAGCACUUUGAAAAGAGAGUUAAAAAGUACGUGAAAUUGUUGAAAGGGAAGCGUUUAUGACCAGACUUGGGCUUGGUUAAUCAUCUGGGGUUCUCCCCAGUGCACUUUUCCAGUCCAGGCCAGCAUCAGUUUUCGCCGGGGGAUAAAGGCUU